rnacentral:rRNA from 1 species
UUGAAAUCGUGUUUCGGCACGAGUUGUAGAUUGCAGGUUGGAGUCUUUGUGGAAGCGUGUGUCUAAGUCCCUUGGAACAGGGUGCCAUUGAGGGUGAGAGCCCCGUGAGACGCGUGCGGAAGCUGUAAGGCCCUUCUGACGAGUCGAGUUGUUUGGGAAUGCAGCUCUAAGUGGGUGGUAAAUUCCAUCUAAGGCUAAAUAUUGGCGAGAGACCGAUAGCGAACAAGUACUGUGAAGGAAAGAUGAAAAGCACUUUGAAAAGAGAGUGAAACAGCACGUGAAAUUGUUGAAAGGGAAGGGUAUUGGGCUCGACAUGGGAUUUGCGCACCGCUGCUCCUUGUGGGCGGCGCUCUGUGCUUUUCCUGGGCCAGCAUCGGUUUUUGCCGCAGGAGAAGGCGUGCUGGAAUGUGGCUCUUCGGAGUGUUAUAGCCAGUGCGAGAUGCUGCGUGCGGGGACCGAGGACUGCGACAUCUGUCUCGGAUGCUGGCACAACGGCGCAAUACCGCCCGUCUU